ACCCGCUGAACUUAAGCAUAUCAAUAAGCGGAGGAAAAGAAACCAACAGGGAUUGCCCUAGUAACGGCGAGUGAAGCGGCAACAGCUCAAAUUUGAAAUCUGGCCCCUUCGGGGUCCGAGUUGUAAUUUGCAGAGGGUGCUUUGGCGUUGGCUGUGGUCUAAGUUCCUUGGAACAGGACGUCACAGAGGGUGAGAAUCCCGUACGUGGCCGCCAGCCUUCGCCGUGUAAAGCCCCUUCGACGAGUCGAGUUGUUUGGGAAUGCAGCUCUAAAUGGGAGGUAAAUUUCUUCUAAAGCUAAAUACUGGCCAGAGACCGAUAGCGCACAAGUAGAGUGAUCGAAAGAUGAAAAGCACUUUGGAAAGAGAGUCAAAAAGCACGUGAAAUUGUUGAAAGGGAAGCGCUUGCAGCCAGACUUGCCUGUAGUUGCUCAUCCGGACUCUUGUCCGGUGCACUCUUCUGCGGGCAGGCCAGCAUCAGUCCUGGCGGUUGGAUAAAUGCCUGCUAAAUGUACCUCUCUUCGGGGAGGACUUAUAGGGCAGGCGGCAUACAACCAGCCGGGACUGAGGUCCGCGCAUCUGCUAGGAUGCUGGCGUAAUGGCUGUAAGCGGCCCGUCUUGAAACACGG
rnacentral:rRNA from 1 species